rnacentral:rRNA from 1 species
UACGGAGGGUGCAAGCGUUGUCCGGAAUCACUGGGCGUAAAGCGAAUGUAGGCGGCUAUUCAAGUCACUUGUGAAAGCCCGGGGCCUAACCCCGGAAGUGCAAGUGAUACUGUUUAGCUUGAGUAUCACAGAGGACACUGGAAUACAUGGUGUAGUGGUGAAAUACGUAGAUAUCAUGUGGAACACCAGCGGCGAAGGCGGGUGUCUGGGUGAAUACUGACGCUGAGAUUCGAAAGCGUGGGGAGCAAACAGG